AAAAAGACAAACCCUAGUUUCCGUGCCUAACGUUUGAUCAUCCGUCUUAUUUGAAAAAAUUAUGAAAAAAAAUUAAAAAGACAAGUCACGCACAAAGUAUUAAUCAUGUUUUAUCAUCUAACAACAAUAAAAAUACGAAUUAUAAAAAAAUUUCAUAUAAGACGGACAGUCAAAGUUGGACACGGAAACUCAGGGUUUGCCUUUUU
rnacentral:pre_miRNA from 1 species